AUACGGAGGGUGCAAGCGUUACUCGGAAUCACUGGGCGUAAAGCGCGCGCAGGCGGUCUUUUAAGUUGGAUGUGAAAGCCUACGGCUCAACCGUAGAACUGCAUCCAAAACUAUUGGACUAGAGUGUGGGAGAGGAAGAUGGAAUUAGUUGUGUAGGGGUAAAAUCCGUAGAGAUAACUAGGAAUACCAAAAGCGAAGGCAAUCUUCUGGAACACUACUGACGCUGAGGCGCGAAAGCGUGGGGAGCAAACAGGAUUAGAUACCCUAGUAGUCC
rnacentral:rRNA from 1 species